AUGGGUACUUUUAUCCGCGGGUAUUACCUGCACCCGGUCGGGUACGGUGAGAGCCAACAAUGCGUUCCUGGCUUCCCCGGCGAUGCCGACAUGGUAGGGCAGGACCCAGUGGCCAUCUUCGGUGCCUUCAUGGACUUCGUCAGCGCCAACCUCUGCUUCAUCAUCUACGGCCACGACCCCUCUGUCGUCGGCAUCAUCUGGCACCUCGGAAUGCAAAUUAAAUGUGUUCAUGGAGUGGGGUGUAAUUAUGAUUUGUGCAAUGGGUUCAGAGUGGAAGGGGCUGUCAUUCGCGUUCAGCAGGGGCUGCAAGUUUGUGAUCGCAUGUAUGGUCGGGACUGCGUGGGGCCGGCGACCAAUUGCUUGCAUCUCUUGCUGUAUGGUGAUGAUGACCGGCUCCUGUUAAAUCCAAUACGACUGCACUUCUUCGCUUCAGGUGGCCGUGAAGCUCUGACUCCAUCCUCACGACACUCAAACUUGUCUUGA
rnacentral:rRNA from 1 species